GGCCUGUGAACAGUUGGUCGGACUUCUCCAGCUUCUAGCUGCGUUGCUUUCUACCUUGGCCCUGGCACUUCGAGUGUCUCUGAAGGUCAAUCCCAAAACUUUAUUCUCUCCCUCGUCUCUCCCUCAGCCUUUGCUCCCUCAUCCUCUCUUAGAACUCAGACUUGGAAGUUCACCUGCCUCUUCUUGCAAACUCCAUCUGUCCUGCCCAGCACAGCCAGUCAUCCUGUGGGAGCCCAGAAGAGAAAGAAAAUGAACAUGCAAGCUAAAAUCAACACAAAUCAAAGGAGCCUCCCUAAAAGCUAUGGGUG
rnacentral:lncRNA from 1 species